GCUUCCCUUGUCUUCAGACACUGACAGGAAGUGAGCUGCUGAAGAUGUCAAAUCAGAGUUCACCUGCUGAGGUUAAAGUGACGUGUUUUUAUCUAAAAGGAAUUCAAUCUCCUGACAGUGACAUGUCCUCCAUCAUCAUUCGAAAGGAACCAUUGGAGUCCCCUCAUGUCAGCAAACAAUGACAGGAACUGAGCUGUUGAAGAUGUCACAACAGAGAUCACCUGCUGAGGUUCAAGUGACGUGUUUUUACACCGUGAAGCUUGGAGAAAAAAUGUAUCUAUCUCCACACAGUGACACAUCCUCCAUCACAAUACAUAAAGUUGAGGAAAAAGAGCCACACAAGACGCAGACUAUGCCGGCAUUUACUAUGA